AACGAACGCUGGCGGCAUGCCUAACACAUGCAAGUCGAACGAGAUCUUCGGGUCUAGUGGCGCACGGGUGCGUAACGCGUGGGAAUCUGCCCUUUGGUUCGGAAUAACAGUUGGAAACGACUGCUAAUACCGGAUGAUGACGAAAGUCCAAAGAUUUAUCGCCAGAGGAUGAGCCCGCGUAGGAUUAGCUAGUUGGUGUGGUAAAGGCGCACCAAGGCGACGAUCCUUAGCUGGUCUGAGAGGAUGAUCAGCCACACUGGGACUGAGACACGGCCCAGACUCCUACGGGAGGCAGCAGUGGGGAAUAUUUGACAAUGGGCGAAAGCCUGAUCCAGCAAUGCCGCGUGAGUGAUGAAGGCCUUAGGGUUGUAAAGCUCUUUCACCCGGGAUGAUAAUGACAGUACCGGGAGAAUAAGCUCCGGCUAACUCCGUGCCAGCCGCCGCAGUAA
rnacentral:rRNA from 1 species